CCCAGACUCCUACGGGAGGCAGCAGUGGGGGAUAUUGCACAAUGGGGGGAACCCUGAUGCAGCGACGCCGCGUGGGUGAAGGAGCGUUUCGGCGCGUAAAGCCCUAUCGGCAGGGAAGAAGGAGGACGGUACCUGACUAAGAAGCCCCGGCUAACUACGUGUCAGCAGCCGCGGUAAUACGUAGGGGGCAAGCGUUAUCCGGAUUUACUGGGUGUAAAGGGGGCGCAGACGGCAGCGCAAGCCAGGAGUGAAAGCCCGGGGCCCAACCCCGGGACUGCUCUUGGAACUGCGCGGCUGGAGUGCAGGAGGGGCAGGCGGAAUUCCUGGUGUAGCGGUGAAAUGCGUAGAUAUCAGGAGGAACACCGGUGGCGAAGGCGGCCUGCUGGACUGCGACUGACGUUGAGGCCCGAAAGCGUGGGGAGCAAACAGGAUUAGAUACCCCUGUAGA
rnacentral:rRNA from 1 species